rnacentral:rRNA from 1 species
UGGGGGAUAUUGCACAAUGGGCGCAAGCCUGAUGCAGCGACGCCGCGUGGGGGAUGAAGGCCUUCGGGUUGUAAACUUCUUUUGCUCUGAACAAGGCGCACUUUGGGGUGUGUUGAGUGUAGGGGUUGAUUAGCGCCGGCUAACUACGUGCCAGCAGCCGCGGUAAUACGUAGGGCGCGAGCGUUGUCCGGAAUUAUUUGGCGUAAAGGGCUUGUAGGUGGCUGGUUGCGUCUGUCGUGAAAGCUCAUGGCUUAACUGUGGGUUUGAGGUGGGUACGGGCUGGCUUGAGUGCAGUAGGGGAGGCUGGAAUUCCUGGUGUAGCGGUGGAAUGCGCAGAUAUCAGGAGGAAUACCGGUGGCGAAGGCGGGUCUCUGGGCUGUUACUGACACUGAGGAGCGAAAGCAUGGGGAGCGAACAGG